GCAUUAGUGGUGUAAUUGUUAACAUGUGGUCUUCCCAUCGCAUCUGGUGAUAUACUUAUCGCCGCGUUCAGGGUUCAAUUCCCCGCUAAUGUA
rnacentral:tRNA from 1 species